CAAGCUUAACUGGACAUCUACAAAGGCUGCAGCUGCUAAGAGAGACCACAAAGGUGACUGAGGGGUGAAGAGCAACGUCCGCCACUCUCGUGCCUUGCUUCUGUUGUUGCUGCUGUAGUGUUGGCUGUGGAUGUCUUGCUGAUCUCCUUCCUCUUGGUGACUCACCCAGAGGACUGAUGAACAGCCUAAGUUCUUGUGAAUCAACAAACCAAGGAUCUGCAGACUGAGCUAAGCCUACUAAAAUCUGAGCAGCCUGAACCACAGUAAAAUAGUUUGUAGAGAUAUCACCAAGAUGCCUUUGGGAAGCAACAGUUGCAUUUGGUUAUGCACAAGGAAAAAGGUUCUAGCUUGUUUUGGUGUGUUGUGCUAAAAGCAAAUAAAAAUUUUGGUGAGCUGCAGAA